AGUGAACGCUGGCGGUAGGCCUAACACAUGCAAGUCGAACGGCAGCACAGUAAGAGCUUGCUCUUACGGGUGGCGAGUGGCGGACGGGUGAGGAAUACAUCGGACUCUACUUUUUCGUGGGGGAUAACGUAGGGAAACUUACGCUAAUACCGCAUACGACCUACGGGUGAAAGCAGGGGAUCUUCGGACCUUGCGCGAUUGAAUGAGCCGAUGUCGGAUUAGCUAGUUGGCGGGGUAAAGGCCCACCAAGGCGACGAUCCGUAGCUGGUCUGAGAGGAUGAUAAGCCACACUGGAACUGAGACACGGUCCAGACUCCUACGGGAGGCAGCAGUGGGGUAUAUUGGACAAUGGGCGCAAGCCUGAUCCAGCCAUACCGCGUGGGUGAAGAAGGCCUUCGGGUUGUAAAGCCCUUUUGUUGGGAAAGAAAAGCAGCAGGUUAAUACCCCGCUGUUCUGACGGUACCCAAAGAAUAAGCACCGGCUAACUUCGUG
rnacentral:rRNA from 1 species